GAUGAACGCUGGCGGCGUGCCUAAUACAUGCAAGUCGAGCGAACAGACGAGGAGCUUGCUCCUCUGACGUUAGCGGCGGACGGGUGGGUAACACGUGGAUAACCUACCUAUAAGACUGGGAUAACUUCGGGAAACCGGAGCUAAUACCGGAUAAUAUAUUGAACCGCAUGGUUCAAUAGUGAAAGACGGUUUUGCUGUCACUUAUAGAUGGAUCCGCGCCGCAUUAGCUAGUUGGUAAGGUAACGGCUUACCAAGGCAACGAUGCGUAGCUGACCUGAGAGGGUGAUCGGCCACACUGGAACUGAGACACGGUCCAGACUCCUACGGGAGGCAGCAGUAGGGAAUCUUCCGCAAUGGGCGAAAGCCUGACGGAGCAACGCCGCGUGAGUGAUGAAGGUCUUCGGAUCGUAAAACUCUGUUAUUAGGGAAGAACAAAUGUGUAAGUAACUAUGCACGUCUUGACGGUACCUAAUCAGAAAGCCACGGCUAACUACGUG
rnacentral:rRNA from 1 species